ACGGAGGGUGCAAGCGUUAUCCGGAUUUACUGGGUUUAAAGGGUGCGUAGGCGGGUCUUUAAGUCAGUGGUGAAAACUCCGAGCUUAACUCGGAAACUGCCAUUGAUACUAUUGAUCUUGAAUUUAGUUGAGGUUGGCGGAAUGUGUCGUGUAGCGGUGAAAUGCUUAGAUAUGACACAGAACACCGAUUGCGAAGGCAGCUGGCUAAACUAAAAUUGACGCUGAGGCACGAAAGUGUGGGGAUCAAACAGGA
rnacentral:rRNA from 1 species